ACCGGCACCCCCGAUCACCCUCCUAACCUUUGGUUUCCUGUGGACAGGAUUGUAGAGCGGGACAUCAGUGAUUCUAUUAGUCUCCCACAAUCAUGCAAUUUCCAAUGCCAUCAUUAUUGCUGCCUACUUGGGCAAUGAUCCCAGAUUUCUUAGCUAUUACAACGCUUUACCAAUUGUAGAGAGGUUGCCAUUCAAAAUACAAAGUCACGACCAAGUUAAAGGCUACCAAACAUUGGAAAGUCAAUGCAAGACCAUGGUACUGAUUAUGUAUCGACGCCAGAUUUCGGGCUUUAUACAUAUCCUGGACGAGAGCUGCGACACCACAUAGAUUUUAAGGUCUACCCGCCGGAAAUAUAUGCAUUCGGACUAAAGUUGGACAGGGAAUGAUGUGCUGAAUAGGAGGUUCAUUUGGUGAGAAAUUGACUAUAAAACUUGCUAGGCUUCUGAUAUCCAAAUUGCAGGUCGAGGUUACUGGCAGAAUCUAAACGAUUCUAGGUUGACAAUACGGGGCUGUUUCCAGCCACGGUAAACGGGGGACAAAAGCUGGCGCAAGCUUGAAAUUUGACACAGAAAAGGAGUUCUUUGACUUUUUCUCCAUGGCUUGAACCACAUGAGAGAAAUCUGUGAGAUUCCUGAAUGAUUUUAUGAGCAAGCUGUAAAUUUGUUAGCUAACGAACUUGGUCGGUUGACACUGAAGCUCUACCUAGAGAUGGAGAUAAGAGAGCAACCUGAUGAUACAGAAACCUUGGAACUGAUGUAAACUAUGUUUUCCAAAUUAAGGUAUUUGAUAGAGAAAUGGAGUAU